GACGAACGCUGGCGGCGCGCUUAACACAUGCAAGUCGAGCGAGAACCAAGCCUUCGGGCUUGGGGACAGCGGCGAACGGGUGAGUAACACGUGAGUAAUCCACCCUUGGUACCGGGAUAGCUCGGGGAAACUCGAAUUAAUACCGGAUAGCCCAUUAGCCUUUCGGGGCGAAUGGAAAAGGUAGCUUCGGCCUCCGACCAAGGACAAGCUCGCGGCGGAUUAGCUUGUUGGCGGGGUAAAGGCCCACCAAGGCGACGANCCGUAGCUGGUCUGAGAGGACGAUCAGCCACACUGGGACUGAGACACGGCCCAGACUCCUACGGGAGGCAGCAGUGGGGAAUCUUGCGCAAUGGGCGAAAGCCUGACGCAGCGACGCCGCGUGUGGGACGACG
rnacentral:rRNA from 1 species